CUGUGAACGUCACACUUUUAUGUUCACAGACUGUAGAGCUAGUCAUAAACUCACGGUCAAUGUUAUCAACGAUCAGCUGAUCAAGAAAACUUAAAGAGAGAACUGUGAGACCAAACACUGUUGGUUUUUGGAUAAACCAGGUUAAAAGAUGAAAUUAACCAAGACAAAAACAAACUGGCUUCUCAUAUUGAUUCUUGCAUUUCACAUGACUUCUUCAGAAGCUUCUCAUAAUGAUGAUGAUGACGAGGUGAGGAUCCUGAUGGUGGGAAUCCGAGGUCAGUCCAGAUUCAGUGCUGCAGAUCUUCUGUCAGGAAGGAAAGACGGUGGACAGGAGGACAGAGAGAUUGUAAAGACUCCAGUAAUUACAGACGAGGCUCGUAGAAUGAUGCUGAUCACUGGACCGAACCUCUGUGAGGAGGACACAGAGAGACAGACCUUCAUAACAGCACUGUUUCUCUCGUCUCCUGGACCUCACGCCGUUCUAAUGCUCCUGAAUCUGGAAGAUCAACAAUCACAACAGUGUGAUAUUGUGAAACGAGCUCAGGAGCUGCUGGGAGCAGAAGUCCUGCAGUACUGCAUUGUUCUUCUGCUGCAAAAUCACCAGGAACCUUUCACAGGAGCCUCCAGAGAAAUGAUCGACGCAUGGGGAGGAAGAUUUCUCAUCAUAAGAGACUCUGAACCUAAACCUGCUCAAAGAGCAGCUCUCGUAGCAGAAAUACACAAGUUAGUUUGGCUCAACGAUCACAGAUUUUACUCAGUAGUGACUCAAGAGUUAGAAACAGAAAAGCUGGAACUUUUACAAAGACUACAAGAAAUAGAAAACAAACUUAAAGAAGAGACCACUCAAAAUGUAAAUAAAGAAAAUCCAGUCUUGCCUGAAAUAUAUGACACUUUAGGAGGAAUUGUUGGAAUUGUAGGAUGGAUUUUCUUCAUUGUAUGUCACUUUAAGAGAGACUCUCAAUCCAGAUGUUUCUGUUCCUUUAAAUUUGAUUGUAUCCUCAACUUUCACAGUAGCCUCUGCAUAUAAAGACUUCGCAAAUUCACGACAUGGACACCAAAUCAUAAUGUUUUUAGUCAUGAUCUUUACAUUUCCCAGUAUAGUGUUCAUAGCCGGUCUAGGACUGACUGUAGGAACAGCGGUCAGUGUACGGACGUGGUCAGAUGUGCUCAUAGCGUGCCACGCUGCUCCCGGAGUCACAUUCGGGGCUCAUUUAUACACGGUUUACUCCAUUAUACCUGAUCAAAUGCAAGCUCGUACAACUCUCAUUUUUGCACUCAAGUUAUUCCUGUUCUGUUUCGUUGGAGUGAUGCUCUCGAUGGGGUUUGUGACUGUAUUUGCUCUGGUUUGGAGUGAAGAUGACAAUAUUUCUGCUAAUAUUAGGAUUUACAAAAAUGUAUUUCCAUUUAAGGAGUCUUUCUCUGAAACUGUUUAUUUUUUUCCUGCUUUUUCCAUGCUGUUGUGUAUUUAUUGGUUCUUUAAUUUCAUUUUUAUACAGUUUAUUAUUUCAUUAUAUUUUAACAGUAAUUUGAAACCGAUAAUAGUGACUAAAUCACAAGAGACACUUACAGAUUUUGGAUCAUAAGUUAAUGCUGAUAUUGAUAUUGAUGUUUCUUCAACUAUGGGUAUUUUUGGCACUGUGUACUUUCAGGAAAUAAUCACUCUUACAACCCAUCUUAUUUAAUUUCUUUACUAAUGAUCAUUUAACAUCAAUAAAGACAUCACAGGAAAAUCUUGAACAUUUACUGUGCAAUGUCAUUUCCACCAAAUUUCAAAUGAUAUAUUAUGUUUAUCAGCAUUUUAUUACUGGAAUAAAAUGGCUAUUUUCAUAGUUUGAAUUUUAUGUAUGUAAAUACACACAUUCAAAAAUAUAUUUUGAUACUUUAUACAUAAUUUUGCAUAUAUAUAUAUAUAUCUAAAAAAAUUGUGAAUUCUCCUGUUAAGCAUUUAUAUGCAAUUUAAAAAAAAAAAAAAAAUAAAAAAAAACUUUAAUAAUAAAAAAACCAAAAUUUUUAUUAAUAUUCACUGUGCUUAGAUCACAUUUGCUGUAGGUCAAGUAACAAUGGAAACAUUGGAAAAAUCAGAACAGAGUUUUAUUUUACAGUAGGUUUAGGAGAGACCCUUGGAUUAAUUGUUAGCAUACAGACUUUUUCUGAUGUUUUUGUAGCAUGCUGAGCUGCUCUUGGAGUCACAGUUGGAGCUUAUGUAAUUUUUUUAAUUUAUCAUUCGAGCAACCAAAAACUGAAUGUCCGAGAAUUACUCCUGUUAUUUCUGUUUUGUACAGUGUGCUGAACUUACGGUGUUGUGUGUGAUUUUGCUCAAUGCACUGUUUGGAGUGAAGCUCACAAUAAUUCUGCUAAUAAUCAUGAUAAUAACUGCAGCAUUAAAACUAGAGCUCAAAAUGAAGAAAAACUGUAAUCGAGUUACUCCUUCUUUGAGUGAUUUUUUCAUGUGGUUGUGUGUUUAUUGCUUCAGUUGUUCUGAUUUUAGAGAUGUCGUUGAGUUUGCUUAAAGUUUAUAGAGAACACUUCCUCAGUUCUUUCUUGUUUUAUCCAGUGGUAAUGUUGGCUUCUUUAAUGCUGAUUAUACAGUUCAGAAAACCACUGAAGAGGAUCAAGCAAAGCAGAACAUCACAAGUGAGCAGUUUCUCUUGUCUCCUGGACUUCAUACUGUUUUAAUGGUCCUGAAUCAAGAAUCAAAAAUGUGU
rnacentral:lncRNA from 1 species